rnacentral:rRNA from 1 species
UACGUAGGUGACCAGCGUUGUCCGGAUUUACUGGGCGUAAAGAGCGCGCAGGCGGUCGUUCAAGUCGAGUGUGAAAGCCCCCGGCUCAACUGGGGAGGGUCACUCGAUACUGAUCGACUUGAAGGCAGGAGAGGGAAGCGGAAUUCCCGGUGUAGUGGUGAAAUGCGUAGAUAUCGGGAGGAACACCAGUGGCGAAGGCGGGUCUCUGGGCCGAUACUGACGCUGAGACGCGAAAGCGUGGGGAGCGAACAGG